AUUGAACGCUGGCGGCAGGCCGACCACAUGCAAGUAGAACGAGUGGCGGACGGGUGAGUAAUGUCUGGGAAACUGCCUGAUGGAGGGGGAUAACUACUGGACACGGUAGCUAAUACCGCAUACCAUCGGAUGUGCCCAACUGGGAUUAGCUAGUAGGUGGGGUAAAGGCUCACCUAGGCGACGAUCCCUAGCUGGUCUUAGAGGAUGACCAGCCACACUGGAACUGUGACACGGUCCAGACUCCUACGGGAGGCAGCAGUGGGGAAUAUUGCACAAUGGGCGCAAGCCUGAUGCAGCCAUGCCGCGUGUAUGAAGAAGGCCUUCGGGUUGUAAAGUACUUUCAGCGGGGAGGCGUUACCCGCAGAAGAAGCACCGGCUAACUCCGUGCCAGCCGCCGCGGUAAUAC
rnacentral:rRNA from 1 species